UGGCUUAGAGGUUAAAGCAUCUGCUUCCCAUGCAGGAGACCCGGGUUUGAUCCCUGG
rfam:Ovis aries breed Texel chromosome 18, whole genome shotgun sequence.